UACAGAGGGGGCAAGCGUUGUUCGGAAUUACUGGGCGUAAAGGGCGCGUAGGCGGCCUGCUAAGUCGAACGUGAAAUCCCCGGGCUCAACCCGGGAACUGCGUCCGAUACUGGCAGGCUUGAAUCCGGGAGAGGGAUGUGGAAUUCCAGGUGUAGCGGUGAAACGCGUAGAUAUCUGGAGGAACACCGGUGGCGAAGGCGGCAUCCUGGACCGGCAUUGACGCUGAGGCGCGAAAGCCAGGGGAGCAAACAGG
rnacentral:rRNA from 1 species